rnacentral:rRNA from 1 species
CGGACGGGUGAGUAACACGUGGAUAACCUACCUAUAAGACUGGGAUAACUUCGGGAAACCGGAGCUAAUACCGGAUAAUAUAUUGAACCGCAUGGUUCAAUAGUGAAAGACGGUUUUGCUGUCACUUAUAGAUGGAUCCGCGCCGCAUUAGCUAGUUGGUAAGGUAACGGCUUACCAAGGCAACGAUGCGUAGCCGACCUGAGAGGGUGAUCGGCCACACUGGAAAUGAGACACGGUCCAGACUCCUACGGGAGGCAGCAGCG